CAUCGACGGGGAGGUUUGGCACCUCGAUGUCGGCGCGGCGCAUCCUGGGGAUGUAGUCGGACCCAAGGGGUGUGUUGUUCUCCCAUUACGGCGGCACGCGAGGUGGGUGCAGAACGUCGGGAGACAGUUCGGUCCCUAUCCGUCGCGGGCGUUGGAAAUUUGAGAGGAGCUGUCCUUAGUACGAGAGGACCGGGAUGGACUUACCGCUGGUGUACCAGUUGUUCUGCCAAGGGCAUUGCUGGGUAGCUAUGUAGGGAAGGGAUAAACGCUGAAAGCAUCUAAGUGUGAAGCCCACCUCAAGAUGAGAUUUCCCAUUUCUUUAAGAAAGUAAGAUCCCUGAGAGAUGAUCAGGUAGAUAGGUCAGGAGUGGAAGUACAGUGAUGUAUGGAGCGGACUGAUACUAAUCGAUCGAGGACUUAACCAAU
rnacentral:rRNA from 1 species